UGGUGGAGUGAUUUGUCUGGUUAAUUCCGAUAACGAACGAGACUCUAGCCUAUUAAAUAGUAAACGUGCCCCUAGCGCGUUCUUACUUCUUAGAGGGACAGGCGGCAUUGAGCCGCACGAAAAAGAGCAAUAACA
rnacentral:rRNA from 1 species